CUAUUCUGUUGGAUGGUAAUUGGUACCAAUAAUUAUAGAUUAAAUGUUAUCUAUUUGAAAACAACAAUGAACUAAUGGUGUAUUCUAACUGAUAAAGCAUAUUAUAUGAUGAUAAGGAAACUAAAUACUAGAUCAAAUGCUCUGUGGCGCUAGAAAACGUUUUGCUUCUAGGCGUUUUCACUGCAGUUAACCAUGGCAGAGAAAACAGUUGUGAUACUAACCAAACUGGGUCAGUUAAGAGGACUGGUUGGACAAUCUGUCUUGUCUGACAAAAGUUAUUAUGGAUUCUUAGGAAUUCCUUAUGGAAUACCACCUGUGGGAGCACUUAGAUUUAAGGAUCCUCAGCCAUUUGGCAGCUGGGAGGGAGUGAGAGAUGCAACCGAAGAUGCGCCCUCUCCUAUACAACCAGUAUUUGCUCAUCCACCGGGAACACUAAAUAUUGAUGGUGAAGAGGACUGUCUGUAUCUUAAUGUGUUUAUAAAUCAGUUCCCAGAUAAAUCCAACAGUCUGAAGCCUGUGGUUGUGGUUUUUAAUCAGGGAGCCUUUCUUAUGGGAUCUGGGAAUUCAAAAAUAAAAGGUCCCGACUAUUUUCUGGAGUCAGACAUUGUGGUUGUCACCUUUAACUUUCGAUUAGGAGCUCUUGGGUUUCUGUCUCUGGAGAACGAGGAAGUCCCAGGCAAUGCAGGGCUCAAGGAUCAGACCCUGGCAUUGAAGUGGGUCCAUGACAACAUUGACAGUUUUGGUGGUGACCCAAACAAUGUCACCAUAUUUGGUAUCAGUGCUGGGGGAACCUCUGUUCAUUUCCAUUUGCUAUCUCCAACGUCCAGAGGGCUAUUUCAUAAGGCAGUUACACGGAGUGGUACAGCCCUGAAUCCAUGGUCAAUUCAGGAAAACCCUCAGGCCAAUGCCAUAAAACUGGCCAAAACUCUGGGUUGUACGUCUGAGGACCCUGGUGAAGUGCUUCGAUUCCUGCAAGCUGUAACUGCUAAUGACAUUGUGAAUGCCACCAACAAGAUGUCCACAGACAAGGAAGUAACAGCAAAAAAGGCCACCUUGAUAUUUCUACCAUGUGUGGAAGUCUCUAGCAAAGAGCCAUUUCUGGAAGAAACUCCUGAAAGUCUCAUGGAGAGUGGACAGUUUGCUCAGGUUCCUAUCAUCAUAGGAGGCUGUGUUCAAGAAGGAGUUGUGCUUGCGUUUUUUGGUGCGAUAAGUGACAGUGCAUUAAAAAAUGUAAACGAGAAUCCUGCUUGGCUUGUACCAUCUUUUCUGGAAUUGAAAUCUGGAAGCAAAGAAGAGAAAGAGGCACAAGAGGAAAUUUGGGAUUUCUACUUCAAAGGAAACCCUAUUUCCUGGAGCAAUGUUCAAGAAUACAUCAAAAGACUUGUCAUGGAGCAGACUGUUUGAUAUUCUACAAAAACACCAACUUGCCUCUGCCAUUGACUCCGGAUCAGGAAGAAGUUAUUAAAAAAAGUGUUCAGUCUUUGGCAGCUUUUGCUUCAACUGGUGAUCCAAAUUGCGGAGAUCUUGGUGUGACAUGGAACAGAGAUUCCCAGAGCGAUCCGUGUUAUAUGGACGUAGGAACUACUUGGGUACUUAAGGACGGGACACCUUUCACUGACAGAAUGGACUUCUGGAAAGGAC
rnacentral:misc_RNA from 1 species